UACAGGGGGGGCAAGCGUUGUUCGGAAUUACUGGGCGUAAAGGGUCUGUAGGUGGCCAACUAAGUCAGACGUGAAAUCCCUCAGCUUAACUGGGGAACUGCGUCUGAUACUGGAUGGCUCGAGUGUGGGAGAGGAAUGCGGAAUUCCAGGUGUAGCGGUGAAAUGCGUAGAUAUCUGGAGGAACACCGGUGGCGAAGGCGGCAUCCUGGACCGGCAUUGACGCUGAGGAGCGAAAGCCAGGGGAGCAAACGGG
rnacentral:rRNA from 1 species